UUGAUUCUUGAAAUUCUUGCAAACGUUCAACUGAAUGGCACAAAAUCCCCCAAUGAUAUUCAUGUAUCUUUUACUAAGGGAUGAGGGCUCAAAGGCGCACUCAAAAGGAGUUGAGGGCUCAAAGGUGCACUCAAAAUGGAGUUGAGGGCUCAAAGGCGCACUCAAAAUGGAGGUGAGGGCUUAAAGGCGCACUCAAAAGGAGGUAGGGUUAGAAAACACACUACCAAAAGGAUGAGGGCUCAAAGGCACACUCAAAAUGGAGGUGAGGGCUUAAAGGCGCACUCAAAAGGAGG
rnacentral:lncRNA from 1 species